UACGAAGGGGGCUAGCGUUGUUCGGAAUUACUGGGCGUAAAGCGUGCGUAGGCGGUUCGCUGUGUCCGAUGUGAAAGCCCCGGGCUUAACCUGGGAAUGGCAUUGGAAACUGGCGGGCUUGAGUGUGGCAGAGGGGGGUGGAAUUCCGCGUGUAGCAGUGAAAUGCGUAGAGAUGCGGAGGAACACCGAUGGCGAAGGCAGCCCCCUGGGUUAACACUGACGCUCAGGCACGAAAGCGUGGGGAGCAAACAGG
rnacentral:rRNA from 1 species